rnacentral:snoRNA from 1 species
AUGAUCAUACUUUAUAGGAUCACUUCUAUAGUGCGAUUGCCGGGUUUCUCGCCAAGAUUCUCGGAAUAUGUUCAACCACGAUGAGGACUGUUAGUGUAAUCCUCUGAGCGGGAAGCGGCUCUCAAGUUGUGCUUGAGAGUUUUUGAUGACCGUUCUCGAUGUUAAGAGGAGGAUUGCACAGGCUGAGUGGU